ACAAGAGGCUGAAGGCGUUAAAACUGCACAACUCAUUAGUAGUACGAAGCGAAGGGACGAGAUACGAAAAACGUUCGAAAAUUUGAAAGCCACUUAGACACCCAAGGUAUAUACAUGCAAACUUCUAUUUGCAAUGGCGAAAAUCUCGCAAAUUUGCCCUCUUCGCUACAUUGCAACAAAAAGGAAUUUUGAGUCGUCCAGAAGCUCAAACGCUGCUGAUCGGUAUAUCAAAAGAUCAGGGAAAGAUGCCAACUUGCAUUUAUUGUAACUUUCCCAAUCGCAAAAUUGAGAAAAAUGAUUAAAAUUUGAGCAAGUUCGCCCCCAACAAGUCAAAUACCCGAAAAGUGAAGCGAAGGUGCGAAGGAAAUGUUGGAGCACUACGGCAAGUAAAUAUUCAAGGUGCAUCUUAUAAUUUAACGAGCGGA